CCUCUCUUCGGAGAGGGUCAUCCGCAAAAGCCAGAACGACACAGACACAGAGAGCAUCAACACGGCCCCUGCGAAAGGAUGACACGCACAAAUCGAGAAUGUGCACCUUUUUUG
rnacentral:snRNA from 1 species